AAAAAGACAAACCUUAGAUUUCCGUGUCCAAUAUUUGACUGUCCGUUUUAUAUGAAUUUUUUUAUAAUUAGUAUUUUCGUUGUUGUUAGAUGAUAAAACAUGAUUAAUACUUUAUGCGUGACUUAUCUUAUUAAUUUUUUUAUAAUUUUUUCAAAUAAGACGGACGGUCAAAUGUUGGACACAGAAACCUAGGGUUUGUCUUUUU
rnacentral:pre_miRNA from 1 species